UGGGGAAUAUUGCGCAAUGGGGGAAACCCUGACGCAGCAACGCCGCGUGAAGGAAGAAGGCCUUCGGGUUGUAAACUUUUGUCUUUAGGGAAGAAAAAAAUGACGGUACCUAAGGAGGAAGCCACGGCUAACUACGUGCCAGCAGCCGCGGUAAUACGUAGGUGGCAAGCGUUAUCCGGAUUUACUGGGUGUAAAGGGAGCGUAGGCGGGACUUUAAGUCAGAUGUGAAAUGCUGGGGCUCAACCCCAGAGCUGCAUUUGAAACUGGAGUUCUUGAGUGUCGGAGAGGUAAGUGGAAUUCCUAGUGUAGCGGUGAAAUGCGUAGAUAUUAGGAGGAACACCAGUGGCGAAGGCGACUUACUGGACGAUAACUGACGCUGAGGCUCGAAAGUGUGGGGAGCAAACAGGAUUAGAUACCCUGGUAGUCCACACUGUAAACGAUGGAUACUAGGUGUAGGAGGUAUCGACCCCUUCUGUGCCGCAGUUAACACAAUAAGUAUCCCACCUGGGGAGUACGAACGCAAGUUUGAAACUCAAAGGAAUUGACGGGGGCCCGCACAAGCAGUGGAGUAUGUGGUUUAAUUCGAAGCA
rnacentral:rRNA from 1 species